UAAGGAAUAUUGCUCAAUGGGAGAAAUCCUGAAGCAGCAACGCCGCGUGGAGGAUGAAGGGUCUAUGACUUGUAAACUCCUGUAAAGAAGGAAAAAAUUCCCAUUAGAUGGGAGAUGAUGGUACUUCUGGAGUAAGCCCCGGCUAACUACGUGCCAGCAGCCGCGGUAAUACGUAGGGGGCAAGCGUUGUCCGGAUUUACUGGGUGUAAAGUGUGCUCAGGCGGAUUUGUAAGUCAGAGGUGAAAUCUUACAGCUUAACUGUGAAACUGCCUUUGAUACUGCAAGCCUAGAGUAUGGAAGAGAGUGAUGGAAUAUCUGGUGUAGCAGUGAAAUGCGUAGAUAUCAGAUAGAACACCAAUGGCGAAGGCAGUCACUUGGUCCAUUACUGACGCUAAAGCACGAAAGCGUGGGUAGCAAACA
rnacentral:rRNA from 1 species